GUCAGCAUUAGGAUCAAACAAUAUCAGGAGAGACUGGUGGGAUGAGCCUGAUGUUUUCUACCUGCAUGACUUGGAUGAAGAGCAAGACCAUUUUCAAGUGUAAGAUUUGUUCAGCAGCCACACCUGUUCCAUGUGUGGAGGCGACCAAGCAAGACAGUGGCAGGAGGCACACCACAGUUUCUUGGUUCUACUUGGAGAGACAAGGCAGCUCCAUGCUAAGAAUACUGACCACUAGGAAUAUCAAAACCUCAGUUCCAGGACUUACAGAAAAGUUGGGAACAUGAGCUACUGCUUCUGUGCUAUCUCCUUGUGUCCCCGGCACCAGCUGAGGCUGUGUGGGAAGCUCCUUUACCAACUCAACCUUAACAGGAUGCAAUGAUGAUGGUGCUGUGGUCCUGCUUAGACACUUUUCAGAUCCCUCUUUCCCUAGCCUCCUGAUACAAGCUCAUCCACCCAACCAGGCCAGGACACCUGAGUGAUUCCCCGGGCUUUGAGAACACAGCUUUUUGGGGCAACAACUUACUCUGGACUAGGUUUGACAGGAAGACCAAUUUAUUUGUGCCCUCACUUUGACAUAGUAAAGAGCCUGCUGUCUUUUGCAACUGACUGGAUCCCUUGACCACUUCCGAGGGACCAUCAAAACUCAAAGUUCUGACCAUAAGGAUGGUAAGAAGUAAAAUAAGUAAAUGAAUGAACCUAAAAUAAAUUAUCCAAGUACUAUGAAUACAACACAGGAAAAAAAAUUUUCCCAGUAGAGAACUUAACAUGACCUUCACUGAAUGCCUUUCAAAGCUGAACUACUACAUUCAUUCCUCAUGUCCCCUGACAAACCUGAAUCUUGUCACCUGCCAAAGGUAUCUUUCUGUAGCGUCUGUGUCCCUGAAUUAAUGUAAGGUAUUUCUUUAGCCACGUAUUGGUUUCUGUCUUGUUAGCCUUCUGUUUCUGAGUUGCAGGUUUCUGUUAAGAAUGUUUCAGUUUAGAACAAGUAAAUAAAAAGAAAUUAU
rnacentral:lncRNA from 1 species